UUUAAAUAUUUAUCCACAUUCAAUUUUUUUUAAUUCGUGAUACAAAAUUAAUGCCUAAAUUAGAAAAAUCCUAAAAUUUUUUAAACAUAUUAACUAUAUUGAAUUUAAAUAUUUACGUACAUUCAAAUUUUUUUAAAUUAGUGAUACAAAAUUAAUGUCAAAACUAGAAAAUUUUAAAAAUUUCUUAAACAUAUUAAAUAUGUCAAACAUAAACAUUUACUAACGUUAAUCUUUUUUAAAUAGUAAAACAAAAUUCCUCUAGUUUAAAUUUUAAAAUUUUAAAUUUAAAUAUUUAAUAUUUAAUAUUUAAAUUCAACAUAUUUAGAAAUAAUAUUAUUUCUAAAAUUCCUAAAAUUUAAAUUAAUGCCUAAAUUAUA
rnacentral:lncRNA from 1 species